GACUACCAUGCAGUCGAGGGGUAACAUAGGAAAGCUUGCUUUUCUGAUGACGACCGGCGCACGGGUGCGUAACGCGUAUACAACCUACCUUUUAGCGGGGAAUAGCCCAGGGAAACUUGGAUUAAUGCCCCAUAGUAUNUAAACUUCUCCUGAAGUUUAUAUUAAACAUUUAUGGCUAUUAGAUGGGUAUGCGUCCUAUUAGUUAGUUGGUAAGGUAACGGCUUACCAAGGCAGCGAUAGGUAGGGGUCCUGAGAGGGAGAUCCCCCACACUGGUACUGAGACACGGACCAGACUCCUACGGGAGGCAGCAGUGAGGAAUAUUGGACAAUGGGCGAGAGCCUGAUCCAGCCAUGCCGCGUGCAGGAAGACUGCCCUAUGGGUUGUAAACUGCUUUUACAGAGGAAGAACCACCCCCACGUGUGGGGGUUUGACGGUACUCUGCGAAUAAGGAUCGGCUAACUCCGUGCCAGCAGCCGCGGUAAUACGGAGGAUCCAAGCGUUAUCCGGAAUCAUUGGGUUUAAAGGGUCCGUAGGCGGGCAGUUAAGUCAGUGGUGAAAGUCUUCCGCUCAACGGGAGAACUGCCAUUGAUACUGAUUGUCUUGAGUUAUUAUGAAGUGGUUAGAAUGAGUAGUGUAGCGGUGAAAUGCAUAGAUAUUACUCAGAAUACCGAUUGCGAAGGCAGAUCACUAAUAAUAUACUGACGCUGAUGGACGAAAGCGUAGGUAGCGAACAGGAUUAGAUACCCUGGUAGUCUACGCCGUAAACGAUGGUUACUAGCUGUUCGGCCCAAUUGAGGGCUGAGUGGUUAAGCGAAAGUGAUAAGUAACCCACCUGGGGAGUACGUUCGCAAGAAUGAAACUCAAAGGAAUUGACGGGGGCCCGCACAAGCGGUGGAGCAUGUGGUUUAAUUCGAUGAUACGCGAGGAACCUUACCAGGGCUUAAAUGUAGUCUGACAGGUCUGGAAACAGACUUUUCUUCGGACAGAUUACAAGGUGCUGCAUGGUUGUCGUCAGCUCGUGCCGUGAGGUGUCAGGUUAAGUCCUAUAACGAGCGCAACCCCUGUGGUUAGUUGCCAGCGAGUAAUGUCGGGAACUCUAGCCAGACUGCCGGUGCAAACCGCGAGGAAGGUGGGGAUGACGUCAAAUCAUCACGGCCCUUACGUCCUGGGCCACACACGUGCUACAAUGGUAGGGACAGAGAGCAGCCACUUCGCGAGAAGGAGCGAAUCUACAAACCCUAUCACAGUUCGGAUCGCAGUCUGCAACUCGACUGCGUGAAGCUGGAAUCGCUAGUAAUCGCAUAUCAGCCAUGAUGCGGUGAAUACGUUCCCGGGCCUUGUACACACCGCCCGUCAAGCCAUGGAAGCCGGGGGUACCUGAAGUCGGUCACCGCAAGGAGC
rnacentral:rRNA from 1 species